AUUGAACGCUGGCGGCAUGCCUAACACAUGCAAGUCGAACGGCAGCGCGGGCUUCGGCCUGGCGGCGAGUGGCGGACGGGUGAGGAAUGCAUCGGAAUCUGCCCCGACGUGGGGGAUAACGUAGGGAAACUUACGCUAAUACCGCAUACGUCCUAACGGGGAAAGCAGGGGAUCNAAAGACCUUGCGCGGCGGGAUGAGCCGAUGCCGGAUUAGCUAGUUGGCGGGGUAAAGGCCCACCAAGGCGACGAUCCGUAGCUGGUCUGAGAGGAUGAUCAGCCACACUGGGACUGAGACACGGCCCAGACUCCUACGGGAGGCAGCAGUGGGGAAUAUUGGACAAUGGGGGCAACCCUGAUCCAGCAAUGCCGCGUGUGUGAAGAAGGCCUCGGGUUGUAAAGCACUUUUAUCAGGAAAGAAAUCCAGCCGGUUAAUACCCGGAUGGGAUGACGGUACCUGAGGAAUAAGCACCGGCUAACUUCGUGCCAGCAGCCGCGGUAAUACGAAGGGUGCAAGCGUUAAUCGGAAUUACUGGGCGUAAAAGGGUGCGUAGGCGGCCUGUUAAGUUCGAUGUGAAAG
rnacentral:rRNA from 1 species